rnacentral:rRNA from 1 species
UACGUAGGGGGCUAGCGUUGUCCGGAAUCAUUGGGCGUAAAGAGCGUGUAGGCGGUCCGGUAAGUCCGCUGUGAAAGUCGGGGGCUCAACCCUCGGAUGCCGGUGGAUACUGUCGGGCUAGAGUGCGGAAGAGGCGAGUGGAAUUCCUGGUGUAGCGGUGAAAUGCGCAGAUAUCAGGAGGAACACCUAUUGCGAAGGCAGCUCGCUGGGACGUAACUGACGCUGAGACGCGAAAGCGUGGGGAGCGAACAGG